rnacentral:rRNA from 1 species
AGCGAACGCUGGCGGCAGGCCUAACACAUGCAAGUCGAACGAACUCUUCGGAGUUAGUGGCGGACGGGUGAGUAACACGUGGGAACGUGCCUUUUGGUUCGGAAUAACUCAGGGAAACUUGUGCUAAUACCGCAUGUGCCCUUCGGGGGAAAGAUGUAUCGCCAUUAGAGCGGCCCGCGUCUGAUUCGCUAGUUGGUGAGGUAACGGCUCACCAAGGCGACGAUCAGUAGCUGGUCGGAGAGGAUGACCAGCCACACUGGGACUGAGACACGCCCAGACUCCUACGGGAGGGAGCAGUAGGGAAUCUUGCGCAAUGGGCGAAAGCCUGACGCAGCCAUGCCGCGUGAAUGAGGAAGGUCUUAGGAUUGUAAAAUUCUUUCACCGGGGACGAUAAUGACGGUACCCGGAGAAGAAGCCCCGGCUAACUUCGUG